GGGAGGUAGUGACAAUAAAUAACAAUACAGGGUUCUUUAGGAUCUUGUAAUUGGAAUGAGUACAAUUUAAAUCUCUUAACGAGGAACAAUUGGAGGGCAAGUCUGGUGCCAGCAGCCGCGGUAAUUCCAGCUCCAAUAGCGUAUAUUAAAGUUGUUGCAGUUAAAAAGCUCGUAGUUGAACUUCGGGAUCAAUGGAUUGGUCAUGCCGUUGGUAUGUACUGGUCAUAUUGGUUCUCACCUUCUAAGGAACCAUAAUGUCAUUCAUUUGAUGUUUUGGGGAAUUAGGACUGUUACCUUGAAAAAAUUAGAGUGUUUAAAGCAGGCUAACGCUUGAAUACAUUAGCAUGGAAUAAUGAAAUAGGACGUUCGAUCCUAUUUUGUUGGUUUCUAGGAUUGACGUAAUGAUUAAUAGGGAUAGUUGGG
rnacentral:rRNA from 1 species